UACGAAGGGGGCUAGCGUUGUUCGGAAUCACUGGGCGUAAAGCGCACGCAGGCGGAUUGAUAAGUCAGGUGUGAAAUCCCUGGGCUCAACCCAGGAAGUGCACUUGAAACUUCGAAGCUCGAGUCCCGGAGAGGGUGGCGGAAUUCUCGGUGUAGAGGUGAAAUUCGUAGAUAUCGAGAGGAACACCGGUGGCGAAGGCGGCUACCUGGACGGUGACUGACGCUGAGACGCGAAAGCGUGGGGAGCAAACAGG
rnacentral:rRNA from 1 species